CUCUUUAUUCAAGAAGUAUUUUUUGAGCAGCUAUUAUAUGCCAGAUACUGUGUUAGGGGCUAGAGAGUCAUUGAUGAGUAAAAUAGGCAAGGUGUCUGCCUUCUUGGAGUGGGGAGAUAGACAUUAAAUGAAUUCAUUUAAUUCAACAAUUAACAGCUAUUAGGAUCAGGCUUCUCUAACUCCUUGGGGGUACAUCAGUGAAUAAAACAAAGAUCCCUACUCUUGUGGAACUUAAUUUUUAGAAAUUAGCCCAAAUGCUUUCUAAAUAAAUGUAUUACUAGAAAUGGUGGUAAGUGCUAAUCAUGAAAAGCCUAGGGUGGAAUGAGGGCUUCUAAAAGGUUCCUAAUUCAGCCUGGCUGCUGGGGAAAGUCCUUUAUGUGGAUGUGACAUUUUAAGUUUGAGAUCUAGAUAAAAAGUAGGCUGAACUGAGACGAAGAGUGGGAGGUGGAGGCAGAGAACAUAUGUAUAAUGCUAGUAGCUCAUAUUUAAUUCCAUGUUCCAUGCCUUUUCACAAACGUUCUAGAGGACAGGACUGCCAAAGAUGAGAGGAGAUUCCUGCAUCCGAAGUUUGCAAUCAGGCCGGGUGCAGUGGCUCAUGCCUGUAAUCCCAGCACUUUGGGAGGCGGAGGUGGAAGGAUUGCUUGAGCCCAGGAGUUCAAGACCAGCCUGGGCAAUAUAGGGAGAUCCUGCCUCUCUCUCUCUCCCCCAACCCUGCCUCUCUUUUAAAGACAUUCCCAAUCAGAUUGAAUUUAGUUCUCAGCUCCAGGAUGCAUGGCAGCAGCUGCCUAGUUUUUGCCUUCUCAGGAAUCACUGACAGUUGGCAGUUGCCACCUCAGCUUCCCUUGGUCCCCAUUACCUGGAACAAUCAGUCCCAACUACGCUAGGAAUGACCUCUCUGUAGCUAGGUGUGGUGGUGUGCGCCUGUAAUCCCAGCUACUUGGGAGGCUGAGGCACGAAGAAUUGCUUGAACCUAAGAGGCAGAGGUUGCAGUGAGCUGAGAUCAUGCCACUGCAUUCCAGCCUGGGUGACAGAGCGAGACUCCGUCUCAAAAAAAAAAAAAAAAAAAAAAGGAAUCACCUCUCUGGGAAUUGACUUCAGCUUCUUUUACUUGCCUUAGUGAGUGUCACCCUAGGGCCCCCAGAAAUAUGUCAGCAUACAUUUGCUGCUGGAUUUAAAUAAUCUAGGGUGGGCUGAAUAAUCAAUCUUUGAGAGUUGAACUAGCUUCUGAGCUACAAACAUGCACAUAAUCCUUUAGCCCACUUUUCCUUUGCUACUGAAUUUUCUCUAAUUUAAGUUUUAAAGCUCUUCUUAGGUCAUUUCCACCAGCAAGCUUUCAAGCCCUGGUUCAUAUUCUAGCUUAGAAAUAGUUCACAUAGUUCUGUGUAGACAUAAUAUUUACGGGAACCAGAGAUGGGUGGAUUCUGAUAGUGGCUUGUGGAAUAGUCUCCAGUGCAGUCAAAAUAACAAAGAAUUUGAGAAGCAAAUGCUUUGAGAGUCUAGUUUCCCAUAAACUUCUCAAAUAUACAGGCUUAAAUCCUGUGUAAGGAUCAGCAGAAUCCAGGAAAGUAGGGCCCUGUUUGAGAAAGCCUUGGUUUGUUCACUGUUUGCUGUUUUACAGCACAAAUUCUGAACUCUGUUUAUUGUCAACAGCUCUCUAACAAAGGACACAAUGGAAUGUGCCUGUUUUCAAAUUCCUGUAAAAAAGGGCCCUGGAAGACCUCCAAGCCUGGUGUCGGUGAUUUACUUCACUAUUUUUCAGUGAUUUCACUUAAGACUCUAAGCUUUUGAGAGAGUUCUUACCAAUCAUCAACAUUAGUGUGGAGCUACGUAUAAGAAGGAUCUAGAUGGGCUGUAAUUGAGUGAGAAUAAAAUACAACUAUCCAUAUCCUGUUGGAAGUGUAGGGACAGCUAGGGAGGAAAGUGAGCUGGGAGUAGCUGGGAACUUUUUACAUUUAGUAGCACUGAUCCAAAGAUCUGGAGGGAGGAGGAGAUUGCUGUUGGUAAGUCAGGCAGUAGGGUUUGAGGUGCACCUUGCAAAGACGGCUGGUUUCAAAGGUGUGGGGGCAUUGGCACUUAUGUUUCUCAGUACAUAACCUUACAUUGGGAAGCAUCUCCUCUGCCCUGAAUACCCUGCUCCUUGUUCUUCCAUGGCUAGUUCCUUGCUAUCAUUUGCUUCUCAUGGAAAUUGUCUCCUUCUUCUACCCAGUCCAAAGUAGCAACACACUUCUUCACAACAUAUUCUUCCAUUUUAAUUACCUGCCCAAGGCUGGGCAUGUUGGCUCACACCUGUAAUCCCAGCACUUUGGGAGGCCAAGGUGGGCAGAUCACUUGAGGUCAGGAGUUCGAGACUAGCCUGGCCAACAUGGUGAAACCCUGUCUCUGCUAAAAAUACCAGAAUUAGCUGGGUUUGGUGGUGCACACCUGUUGACCCAGCUACUCGGGAGGCUGAGGCACGAGAAUCACUUGAACUGGUGAGGCAGAGGUUGUAGUAAGCUAAUAUCGUGCCACUGCACUCCAGCAUGGGCGACAGAGCAAGACUUUGUCUCAAAAAACAAAAAACAAACAAAAAAAUUACCUGCCCAGCACUUACUUACUUUUAUCUGACAUUUUUGUUUUCUUAUUAAUUCAUUACUGGACUAUAAGCUUCAUGUUGGUAGGAAGCUUGCCUGUUUACUGUGGAGUCUAGUGACUGGUACAUAGUAGGUGCUCAAUAAAAGUGAUGAAUGAGUAGCAAGGAAUAGGAUAAUUGACUUUGUACAAUUUGAGUUAAGAAGGGAUUAACUUUGCAGCGUCCAUACAAAGUAACUGUAGGUAAUUGGUUUUUUUCUGACCCUUAUACAAGGUAAUAAUAUUUUGAGGUAUGUGAAAGUCAUUUCUUUCCUGGAAAGAAUUCUGAAACCAAUGGAAAAAUAGAAAGCAGGCUAGAGAUAUCUGAUAAGAAUACGACUGAAUUAAUCUCAAACUAGAUGUGUGAAAUAAAUGCCUCAGGGCUGCUCUUAUCUAAAUGUAAAUCUAAAACAUCUUAAUCUGAAAUUCCUCAGCUUUCUGCAUUAUUCUCUGGUCAUUUUACCAUAUGGGCCAGAAAUGGGUAAGAAGUAUAGAAAU
rnacentral:lncRNA from 10 species